rnacentral:ncRNA from 2 species
UUACAAAACGGUGAUGGGGUUUGUCAUAACUGCGACAGCUGAUAACUCCUACAUAAGA